rnacentral:rRNA from 1 species
UACAGGGGGCUAGCGUUGUUCGGAUUUACUGGGCGUAAAGCGCACGUAGGCGGAUUGUUAAGUCGAGGGUGAAAUCCUGGAGCUCAACUCCAGAACUGCCUUCGAUACUGGCAAUCUCGAGUCUGGAAGAGGUGAGUGGAACUCCUAGUGUAGAGGUGGAAUUCGUAGAUAUUAGGAAGAACACCAGUGGCGAAGGCGACUCACUGGUCCGGUACUGACGCUGAGGUGCGAAAGCGUGGGGAGCAAACAGG